rnacentral:rRNA from 1 species
GACGAACGCUGGCGGCGUGCUUAACACAUGCCAGUCGAACGGUGAAGGGGUCUGCUUUUGUGGGCCCUGGAUGAGUGGCGAACGGGUGAGUAACACGUGAGUAACCUGCCCCCUUCUUCUGGAUAACCGCAUGAAAGUGUGGCUAAUACGGGAUAUUCUGGGUCUGUCGCAUGAUGGGUCUGGGAAAGAUUGCGCCUUUGGGUGUUUUUGGUGGGGGAUGGGCUCGCGGCCUAUCAGCUUGUUGGUGGGGUGAUGGCCUACCAAGGCGGUGACGGGUAGCCGGCCUGAGAGGGUGGACGGUCACACUGGGACUGAGACACGGCCCAGACUCCUACGGGAGGCAGCAGUGGGGAAUAUUGCACAAUGGGCGCAAGCCUGAUGCAGCGACGCCGCGUGAGGGAUGGAGGCCUUCGGGUUGUAAACCUCUUUCGCCAGUGAAGCAGGCCUGCUCCUUGUGGGUGGGUUGACGGUAGCUGGAUAAGAAGCGCCGGCUAACUACGUG